GUGGCAAAAAUUGGUCUCCACUCAAAUUAUUAGGAAAUAAAGUUCAAAUUUGCAAAGGAUUUUUUUUCCUACCAUAUUUCUUAGGAGAAAGAUACAAAUUUGUCCGUGUUAAUAGUUGAGGACCGGUAACCAAUCUAUUUCUCGAAGUGGGCCGAACUGAACCGAUCCAGACCAAUUUUAACUGGUUCUAGACUAAAUGGGCCAAUCACAGGCUGUUUUUGAACUUUUUACUGUUGGCCCCUGAUCGAAUCGGCUCAUUUAAAACUAGGCCCGGACCGGCCCAUAUAUCAAUUACACUUAAUGAGUCGAUGCCGACUUGAACCGGAUCGGCCCGAUUGACAGGUAUACUUGAAAGAAGGGUUACUUGCACCUUUCCCUAUUUUGUGCUGAUUUUAACUUUUACCUCUCAUAAUUAAUUCUCUAGUGCAACAUAAAUUUAUAUUUUUCACAUUAUUAUAUUCUAUAAGUUAUGUUCCGCGCCA